rnacentral:rRNA from 2 species
ACGAUGAAACUUAGUAGACUUCUUCGGAAAGACACUAAGCGGAUUAGUGGCGAACGGGUGAGUAACGCGUGAGUAACCUGCCUUACACAAGGGGAUAGCCUUUGGAAACGAAGAAUAAUACCCUAUAAAACUAUAAAAGCACAUGCUAGAAUGGUCAAAGUGCUAGCGGUGUAAGAUGGACUUGCGUCUGAUUAGCUAGUUGGUGAGAUAAAAGCUCACCAAGGCAACGAUCAGUAGCCGGCUUGAGAGAGUGUACGGCCACAUUGGGACUGAGACACGGCCCAGACUCCUACGGGAGGCAGCAGUGGGGAAUUUUGCACAAUGGGGGAAACCCUGAUGCAGCGACGCCGCGUGAUUUAGAAGGCCUUCGGGUUGUAAAAAUCUUUUGUAUAGGAAGAAAAUGACAGUACUAUACGAAUAAGGUCCGGCUAAUUACGUGCCAGCAGCCGCGGUAAUACGUAAGGACCGAGCGUUGUCCGGAAUCAUUGGGCGUAAAGGGUACGUAGGCGGCUAGAAAAGUUAGAAGUCAAAGGCUAUAGCUCAACUAUAGUAAGCUUCUAAAACUAUUUAGCUUGAGAAAUGGAAGGGAAAGUGGAAUUCCUAGUGUAGCGGUGGAAUGCGCAGAUAUUAGGAAGGAUACCGGUGGCGAAGGCGACUCUCUGGCCAUUAUCUGA